rnacentral:lncRNA from 1 species
GGCCCAAAUACACCGUCUAAAUUGAUCCACUGAGCUACCAGAUAUGCUAUAGUAUAUAAAAAAAUUAAUCAAAAGAUAUUAUUUAUAUUUUAUUGACUCUAUAUAAAUAUUUCAGAUCUUUUUAAUGAAUAAUCGAUAUGGGACUGAAUAUAUACCCAAGUAAAUCCUCACAUACUUCUCUUGUUUAAACCUUGACAUCCUUAUC